UUUUUUCACCGUAAUUGUAUUGAUAUGUGGUAAUGGGAAAGUUUAGUUUGUAAUUGUCCCAUUUGUCAUGGUUUAGUGAUUAGCUAGUUCUAGCUGUAGUUUUGAUUCCUUGCUACUUCUUAUGGUUUGAAAAACAUUCGAAAGUGUGAAAGAAAUAAAAACAAAAAUAUUAAACCGGAAGUUAAUGUGUGGGUCUCUCUAGCAUAGUCGACUAUUGGGCCACAAAAGGCCCAUCAAUUCAAAAUGUUAAGGAACAAAAAAUCAAGAUCGGCCCGGCACACGCAUACGUGUUGGACGUACGAAGAUUCACAAAAACUGAAUGAGACCAUUUUGAUAUAUCUUUGAUGACAAAAAAAAAAAAAAAAAAACCAUAUUGAUAUAUCUUUAGAAUAUCUUCUCACAAACUCUUUUUGUGUUUAUACCUUUUGCAACUUUUGGUUUACUUUUCGAGGAACGAUCUGUUUAUUUCACUUCCAGAAUUCAC
rnacentral:lncRNA from 1 species